rnacentral:lncRNA from 1 species
GGCGCACGCCGGGAGGCGGCAGAGAGGGAGACAGCAGACUCGGCGGGGGCUCCGCGGCGGAUCCCGGGGACUCCUGCAGCGCCAGCGGGAACUGCAGCGAACCCGAACCGCCCAGCAGGCUGUAGCACAGUCCACAGAGUUCACUGAAGUGUAACGUCCUAAACUACUCAGAACAUGACAGCUGUGACUCAAAGCCUACCAAGACGCAGAGCCAGCCUGUAUGUCCGGCCGCAGAUGAAGAGAUGAAGAAAUCUGAUGGACGAAGCCAUGUCGUCUUCAAAAAUCCUGGUGGAGCGGCAGGUCAUCAUGGCUUUCCCUGGGAACUCGGUCCUUUUGUCUCAGCCAUAGGGUUGCUCCUUGAAGCCUUCCCGGUCACUGACUCCUCACGCAGUCUAUCCAGCUCCUUCAGUUGUUCACCGAGGCCCUCUGUGCCCUCUACACUUGAGCUAUUUUAAUUUGACAUAAUUUAUGAACUAUAUUCCGGCACUACAAUUAAAUAGUAUGUCUUUACAUAA